GUGCUUCCUGUACAGCCUGCAGAACUGUGAGUCAACCAAACCUCUUUUUAAAAUAAAUUACCCAGUUUCAGCUAGGUCUUUCUAGCAGUGUGAGAACGGACACGUAGAGGGUGUGAGAGCCAGUAGACUUUAAGGAGAGGGACGAGCUGGGGCCUGGAUGCCCGGGGAGGUGGACCUGGACCAGGACAGGUGUCAGCGGGCAGAGGUGGGGCAGAGGUGCGGCUGUCUACCCGCGACCGGGGCCAUGCCCUCUCGGGCUCGGUUGAGGAGCUGCUCUUCCUCCAGAAUGCGCUCGGACGGAACGUUAGGAAGGCCCUGGUGAGUGGCCCCGACCUCCUCCCCCAGGACUGGCUUCUCCGGCCCUCGGCCCUUUCGGACAGAACAGCUCGUGGCUCUUCCAGGACCUGGGGCUCCAUCUUGCAGAACAGCUCGUGGCUCUUCCAGGACCUGGGGCUCCAUCUUGCUGAGGGGUGCUUUCUUGAGACUCCUUAGGGACGAUUCUGAUUUUCCCUGGAGCUGUACAAUGGUGGUUUAUCUUUCAAGGUCCCCUGGGCCUGGGCUCCGAGGCAGCCACUUUCCCUGGAGCCCUGAAGGAGGUUUGGACGCCAGCUGGGCUGCCUGCCUGUGGCGGGGCAGGAAUGAGAGCUGGUGCGGCUGGGGCCCCUGGGUGCCUGGUCCUGCUCUCAUGACGCCCACCCCUUGAACCCUGACAUGGGCGCCCAAGGAUUCUCCCCGCAGGCUCGCAGACUCACCUGAUCACCGGGAGAUGUUUGAGAAGGAGCCUGUGUCAAAGUGUAGGCAUCAGAUGAAAAUUUACCUUCUUGUUACCUAUGUAAAUGGGCCGGGCUCCACGAAGUCCUUGGCUGAGAACGGUGCCACUGAGCGACUGAGCUCCCGAUCGUUCUGAGAGAGGCUUACGUGCACAGUGGACGUGGAAGGCUUUGAUGAUGUUGGUGAAGCUCUCUCUGAUGCUGUCAGAGAUGGAUUGGGGACAAUCCUGCGGGGAGGUGCUGAGUGGGGGAGCUACGACAACUGGCCCCACACCAGGAAAAGCUGGGGGCCGCUGAGCCCAGGCCACCAACGGGAGCUGUGGACCCAGCCUGACCCCUGGACCGAGGUGCUUUCAGGGCACAAGGGGAAUGCGGGAGCCUGUGGCUGCUGUUGCUUCUGCUCUCAGUUCAUAAACGCACGCUGUGCACAUCCCCUGUGCUUGGCAAGGGGCCUGGAUAGAAGGGCCAGUGAGGAGACGCCCAUCCUCCAGGCACUGUGCCUCCUCCCAAAGGCCAGCAGCCCUGAGCAUCACUGUGCCCUCCCCACAAAGGCCAGCACCCCCGAGCAUCACUGUGCCCUCCCCACAAAGGAAAAUCUCCAUGACGCCAGCAGGCGUGUCCACAGAGGAAGGGGCGAAGACGAUGUCCAAUGGACAGGCGACCUGCCGACCUGCAUCCUGCCCAGCUCGGAAGAGGAGGACGUCCUGAGAUUUGCCACAGCCUGGAGGCGAUUGCGCUCGUGACAAAAGCCAGACACAGAAAGACAAAUACCACGUUCUCAUUUGUGC
rnacentral:lncRNA from 1 species